GUGGGAACGAGGGACAUCCAAUAAAAAAUUGGAACGAUAUAGAGAAGAUUAGCGUGAUCCCUACGCAAGGAUGACAUACACAAAUUGAAAAAUGGUAUUAGAGUCA